rnacentral:lncRNA from 1 species
GGCUAAAAGAUGGCUGCUGGCGCCUGGCAGCCACCGCCUGGGAGGUUACUGUAAGGCCCGCAGCUCCCGCCAGCUCCCGCGGACUGCUGCCGCCUCCUUACCAUGAAGCCAGUAAGUCGUCGCACGCUGGACUGGAUUUAUUCAGUGUUGCUGCUUGCCAUCGUUUUAAUCUCCUGGGGCUGCAUCAUCUAUGCUUCGAUGGUGUCUGCAAGACGACAGCUAAGGAAGAAAUACCCAGACAAAAUCUUUGGGACGAAUGAAAAUUUGUAACUCUUCUGGAUUUAAUUAUCUGAAAAUACAGUUCUUUCCCUCAUGCUUAUGUAGAUAUAAAAAUAAAAUUCAUAAUGCAAAGUUCCCAAGUUUAUUUUUGCAUUAUCCUUUAUAACAAGCACUAGUAUGCAAAUUUUUCACUUAGAGAUUUUAGUAUUUUACAUUCUCAUGACAAAAUUAACAGCAACCUAAAUCUGACAGUCUUGAGUGUCAGAUCAUAGUUGGAAUAAGCUUUUCAAUCAAGUUUCUAAAUUCUUCAAAAAUGAUUCGGAAAGCUUUUUUUUUUUUUGAGACGGAGUCUUGCUCUGUCGCCCAGGCUCAGUGGCACUAUCUCGGCUUACUGCAAGCUCCGCCUUCUGGGUUCACACCAAUCUCGUGCCUCAGCCUCCGCAGUAGCUGGGACUACAGGAGCCCGCCACCACGCCCGGCUAAUUUUUUUGUAUUUUUAGUAGGGACGGGGUUUCACUGUGUUAGCCAUGAUGGUCUCGAUCUCCUGACUUCGUGAUCUGCCCGCCUCGGCCUCCCAAAGUGCUGGGAUUACAGGCAUGAGCCACUGCGCCUGGCCGGAAAGAUUUCCUUAAAACAAAAGUGCAUGGAAUUGCUGUUCUUACAUUUGUUUAUUGUGAUAUUUCACUGUUGCAUACCCUGAUACCAAAUUAGUGUAAGUACUGUGUAAGAAAAAAACAAACAAACAUGUAACUAAAUACUUUUCCAUACCGUUUUCCAAGUCAAGAAUGACCAGAAAAAGUAGGUAGUCUCUCAUAUUUGUUUAGCAUGUCCACUUUUUACUUAUUGUUAAAUUACUCAGUCUCAAAUUGUACAAUGCUUGAAAACAGAUAUGACAAUUUCUGAGAUUAAACUUUAUUAAAGUUACUUUUCCAGAAAAUUCAGUAAAUAUGGUAAUAUAGGAACAAACUUAGGCUCAUAAGCCUUUUAACUUUUUACAUAAUCUUUAAUGAUGUUGAUCAGGAAAUUCUUUCAUUGGUGGAAUUACUUCUCCAGUCUCCAGAAUUGUAUCACCAGGGAAUAUUCUGGACUUCUUUUCAACUAUGCCAUAUGGUUUUUCCUGUAAUAAAAACUUCAUGUAAUAAUGAAUAAUCCAGACAGGUACAAGUACAUGAGUGAAAACAAAGAUACUCUUUUUGUAUACCCC